AACUCCGGUGGUCUUGUGGUUAGAGCGUCCGCCUUGGAUGAGGGAGGUCGUGGGUUCUAUCCCCGGCUGAGUCA